GUAGUCUCGCACAGAUGCAUAUCAAUAAGCGGAGGAAAAGAAACUAACAAGGAUUCCCCUAGUAACGGCGAGUGAAGCGGGAAGAGCUCAAAUUUGAAAUCUUAAAGGGUUUCCCUUUACGAAUUGUAGUUUAAAGAAGUGUUUUCUGUUGAGGUUUUGGUAAAAGUUCUUUGGAAUAGGACAUCAUAGAGGGUGAGAAUCCCGUAUUUGACCUUUACUUUCAACUUUGUGAUACACUUUCAAAGAGUCGGAUUGUUUGGGAAUGCAGUCCAAAAUGGGUGGUAAAUUUCAUCUAAAGCUAAAUAUUGGCGAGAGACCGAUAGCGAACAAGUACCGUGAGGGAAAGAUGAAAAGAACUUUGAAAAGAGAGUUAAACAGUACGUGAAAAUUGUCAAAAGGGAAGCGUUUGACACCAGUGUUGUUUUUCUGAAAAUCAAUUAAAGAACUGUUUAUGCUAAGCUGUUUAGACUUUAUCAGCUAUCUGUUUAGUUUUGAGCUUUUCUUUAAUGCACUUUUUCAGUUAACAAGUCAACAUCAAUUUCUUUUGCUGUAAAAAAGCUUGAGGAAGGUGGCUUGAGAUUCGUCUUAAGUGUUUAUAGCCUCUUGCCUAUGCAGUCGGAGAGAUUGAGGUCUGCAGCGUAGAUCCUUCGGGGCUAAAUGCAUUUGUGCUAAGUUAUAACAUUUUAUAGACAACUUGUUGACUAUGAUUUGUCUUGUAGCUUACUCGCUUAUGUUAUUUUACCUACGCUUAGGAUGUUGAAGCUACUGAGACAUAGA
rnacentral:rRNA from 1 species